rnacentral:sRNA from 1 species
UGAGCAUAGAACACUUGCAGUACGCAGGUC